CUCCCACCCGUGUUUACCUAAAUCCCCUGUUGCUUGGGCGGGCCUACCGGGACACUGGUAGCCCGAGGACCCCGGUCCUCGGGCCUGUGCCCGCCGGAGCAUGUCUAUGAACGCUGAUGAAGAUAGGCUGUCUGAGUACGAUGGAUAAUCAUUAAAACUUUCAACAAUGGAUCUCUUGGUUCCGGCAUCGAUGAAGAACGCAGCGAAAUGCGAUAAGUAAUGUGAAUUGCAGAAUUCCGUGAAUCAUCGAAUCUUUGAACGCACAUUGCGCUCCCUGGCACUCCGGGGAGCAUGCCUGUCCGAGCGUCAUUUCUGCCCUCAAGCCCGGCUUGUGUGUUGGGCGUGGUCCCCCCAAAACAUUCGGGGGGACCUGCCCGAAAGGCAGCGGCGACGUUCCCGCCUAGGUCCUCGAGCGUAUGGGGCUUUGUCACCCGCUCGGGAGGGACCUACGGGCGUUGGCCACCCAC
rnacentral:misc_RNA from 1 species